rnacentral:rRNA from 1 species
GUCCACGCCAUAAACGAUGAAUACUAGGUGUUGGAGGUGUUAAAACCUUCGGUACCGCAGCUAACGCGUUAAGUAUUCCGCCUGGGGAGUACGACCGCAAGGUUAAAACUCAAAGGAAUUGACGGGGGCCCGCACAAGCAGCGGAGCGUGUGGUUUAAUUCGAUGCAACGCGAAAAACCUUACCUGGGUUUGACGUGUCCGUAGUAGUGAAGCGAAAAGCGGAACGACCCUUCGGGGAGCGGAUGCAGGUGCUGCAUGGCUGUCGU